rnacentral:rRNA from 1 species
AUACGUAAGGGGCGAGCGUUGUCCGGAAUGAUUGGGCGUAAAGGGCGCGUAGGCGGCUUUGCAAGUCAGUAGUGGAAGUCCAUUUUUCAAGGAUGGAAGUGCUACAGAAACUGCGGAGCUUGAGUGCAGGAGAGGUUAUCGGAAUUCCCGGUGUAGCGGUGAAAUGCGUAGAGAUCGGGAGGAACACCAGUGGCGAAGGCGGGUAACUGGACUGCAACUGACGCUGAGGCGCGAAAGUGUGGGGAGCAAACAGGAUUAGAUACCCUGGUAGUCCACACUGUAAACGAUGAAUGCUAGGUGUAGGAGGUAUCGACCCCUUCUGUGCCGCAGUAAACACAGUAAGCAUUCCGCCUGGGGAGUACGGUCGCAAGAUUAAAACUCAAAUGAAUGGACGGGG